UAACGAAUCUUCCGCAAUGCACGAAAGUGUGACGGAGCGACGCCGCGUGUAGGAUGAAGUCCUUCGGGAUGUAAACUACUGUCAGGGGUAAGAAAGUUCUGAUCUACCCCAGAGGAAGAGGCGGCUAACUCUGUGCCAGCAGCCGCGGUAAUACAGAGGCCUCGAGCGUUAGGCGGAAUCACUGGGCUUAAAGCGUGUGUAGGUGGAUGCCUAAGUACCUUGUGAAAUCCCACGGCUUAACCGUGGAACU
rnacentral:rRNA from 1 species